AGCAGUGUGGCUUAGUGGAAAGAGCAUGGGCUUGGGUGUCAGAGGUCGUGGGUUCUAAUCCCAGCUCUGCCG
rnacentral:tRNA from 1 species